CGGGACACGUGGUAUCCUGUCUGAAUAUGGGGGGACCAUCCUCCAAGGCUAAAUACUCCUGACUGACCGAUAGUGAACCAGUACCGUGAGGGAAAGGCGAAAAGAACCCCGGCGAGGGGAGUGAAAAAGAACCUGAAACCGUGUACGUACAAGCAGUGGGAGCCUCUUUAUGGGGUGACUGCGUACCUUUUGUAUAAUGGGUCAGCGACUUAUAUUCUGUAGCAAGGUUAACCGAAUAGGGGAGCCGAAGGGAAACCGAGUCUUAACUGGGCGUUAAGUUGCAGGGUAUAGACCCGAAACCCGGUGAUCUAGCCAUGGGCAGGUUGAAGGUUGGGUAACACUAACUGGAGGACCGAACCGACUAAUGUUGAAAAAUUAGCGGAUGACUUGUGGCUGGGGGUGAAAGGCCAAUCAAACCGGGAGAUAGCUGGUUCUCCCCGAAAGCUAUUUAGGUAGCGCCUCGUGAAUUCAUCUCCGGGGGUAGAGCACUGUUUCGGCAAGGGGGUCAUCCCGACUUACCAACCCGAUGCAAACUGCGAAUACCGGAGAAUGUUAUCACGGGAGACACACGGCGGGUGCUAACGUCCGUCGUGAAGAGGGAAACAACCCAGACCGCCAGCUAAGGUCCCAAAGUCAUGGUUAAGUGGGAAACGAUGUGGGAAGGCCCAGACAGCCAGGAUGUUGGCUUAGAAGCAGCCAUCAUUUAAAGAAAGCGUAAUAGCUCACUGGUCGAGUCGGCCUGCGCGGAAGAUGUAACGGGGCUAAACCAUGCACCGAAGCUGCGGCAGCGACACUAUGUGUUGUUGGGUA
rnacentral:rRNA from 1 species